rnacentral:rRNA from 1 species
GAUGAACGCUGGCGGCGUGCCUAAUACAUGCAAGUCGAGCGAACAGACGAGGAGCUUGCUCCUCUGACGUUAGCGGCGGACGGGUGAGUAACACGUGGAUAACCUACCUAUAAGACUGGGAUAACUUCGGGAAACCGGAGCUAAUACCGGAUAAUAUAUUGAACCGCAUGGUUCAAUAGUGAAAGACGGUUUUGCUGUCACUUAUAGAUGGAUCCGCGCCGCAUUAGCUAGUUGGUAAGGUAACGGCUUACCAAGGCAACGAUGCGUAGCCGACCUGAGAGGGUGAUCGGCCACACUGGAACUGAGACACGGUCCAGACUCCUACGGGAGGCAGCAGUAGGGAAUCUUCCGCAAUGGGCGAAAGCUUGACGGAGCAACGCCGCGUGAGUGAUGAAGGACUUCGGAUCGUAAAACUCUGUUAUUAGGGAAGAACAAAUGUGUAAGUAACUAUGCACGUCUUGACGGUACCUAAUCAGAAAGCCACGGCUAACUACGUG